GGUGCAAGCGUUGUCCGGAAUUAUUGGGCGUAAAGAGCUUGUAGGCGGUUUGUCGCGUCUGCUGUGAAAUCUCGGGGCUCAACCCCGAACUUGCAUUGGGUACGGGCAGACUAGAGUGUGGUAGGGGAGACUGGAAUUCCUGGUGUAGCGGUGAAAUGCGCAGAUAUCAGGAGGAACACCGAUGGCGAAGGCAGGUCUCUGGGCCACUACUGACGCUGAGAAGCGAAAGCAUGGGGAGCGAACAGGAUUAGAUACCCUGGUAGUCCAUGCCGUAAACGGUGGGAACUAGGUGUGGGCCUCAUUCCACGAGGUCCGUGCCGCAGCUAACGCAUUAAGUUCCCCGCCUGGGGAGUACGGCCGCAAGGCUAAAACUCAAAGGAAUUGACGGGGGCCCGCACAAGGCGGCGGAGCAUGCGGAUUAAUUCGAUGCAACGCGAAGAACCUUACCAAGGCUUGACAUGUGCCGGAUAAGUGCAGAGAUGUGCUCCCCGCAAGGUCGGUACACAGGUGGUGCAUGGUUGUCGUCAGCUCGUGUCGUGAGAUGUUGGGUUAAGUCCCGCAACGAGCGCAACCAUCGUUAUA
rnacentral:rRNA from 1 species